CCCUUAGAUGUUCUGGGCUGCACGCGCGCUACAAUGUCAUGACAACCGGGAUGCUUUAACGAAAUUUAUUGCGAAACCCCAACUCAUGACGCGACUGGGAUUGACGUUUUUAAUUAUUCGUCAUGAACGAGGAAUUCCUAGUAAACGCGAAUCAUCAGUUCGUGUUGAUUAUGUCCCUGCCCUUUGUACACACCGCCCGUCGCUCCUACCGAUUGAGCGUUUUGGUGAGCACUCUGGAGUGCAGCAAUGCAUAAAUGAAUGCAAACCUGAGCGUUUAGAGGAAGGAUAAGUCGUAACA
rnacentral:rRNA from 1 species